GACGAACGCUGGCGGCGUGCUUAACACAUGCAAGUCGAACGGUGAAGCGCCUUCCUUUUUGGUGGGUGUGGAUGAGUGGCGAACGGGUGAGUAACACGUGAGUAACCUGCCCCCUUCUUCUGGAUAACCGCAUGAAAGGGUGGCUAAUACGGGAUAUUCUGGGUCUGUCGCAUGAUGGGUCUGGGAAAGAUAUUGUUUCGGUGGGGGAUGGGCUCGCGGCCAAUCAGCUUGUUGGUGGGGUGAUGGCCUACCAAGGCGGUGACGGGUAGCCGGCAUGAACGGGUGGACGGUCACACUGGGACUGAGACACGGCCCAGACUCCUACGGGAGGCAGCAGUGGGGAAUAUUGCACAAUGGGCGCAAGCCUGAUGCAGCGACGCCGCGUGAGGGAUGGAGGCCUUCGGGUUGUGAACCUCUUUCGCCAGUGAAGCAGGCCUGCCUCGUUUGUGGGUGGGUUGACGGUAGCUGGAUAAGAAGCGCCGGCUAACUACGUG
rnacentral:rRNA from 1 species